CUAUUUUGGACAGAAAAAUGUGAUGAUUUUAGAAAUCAUAAAUAUAUAUUUUGAUUAUAUAUAUAGUA
rnacentral:tRNA from 1 species